rnacentral:lncRNA from 1 species
GCUGUGACCGGUGCCAGGACCGGGCCUCAUUGUCCUGAGGCGGAGCUGAGAGCCUGUUCUUUUUCCUGCGAAGGGAGCUGCUCCCGAAAAAAGAGAGCCUCCGUGGGGGGAGGAGAACCUCGCUUCACGCCCCUCCCUCCCCUCCCCCCCCACUGCAUUGUGGGGGGAGCUCAGGGCAGGCACCCUGCCAGCACCCAGCAGACUGGGGCUGGGCAAGGGUGGGGAGGGCCUGUGGGUUCCCCAGGGCCCAGCUCUCCCGGAUCCAGCAGUGGCCUUGCCAGAGGGUGUCCUGUGACCUCCCAGGUCUGUCCUGGCUGGCCGAGGGUCAUCUUGGCUCUUGCGGGGGGGUGGGGGUGCCCUCUGAUCCUGGCAAGCUGAAGUCUGGUGUGGGGAGGGGUGGGCUGGGCCCGGCCCGCCCUGGCGUUUCUAGUGAGGCAGAAUCCAGGACCAAGGUGCACCAGCCGGGUGGAGGGGGUUUCUUUUUAUCGUGCGGGGGCUGCAGCUCAGAGAGCUCCCCCUGGGCCACACUGCUGUGUCACCUCCUGGGUCAGGAGGCAGGAGGCUCCCAGCGCUGGAGGGCCCAGCCCAGCGCGAGGGAGACGCUGUCUGCCUGCGGCGGCUCCGCUUCUUCCUGAGCUUCCCGGAACCGGAACCAGUCAUCGCUCAGCCCCAAAGCUUCUCGCGUUUUUAUGGUUCCGUGGAGUCGCUCUCAGUGUCACCUGGAGACUCCUGAGGGUCUCCCGGGCCCUUUCCCGCCACUGCCUGAGCUUGCAGAAGCGUUUUCACAGCCACCGUGGUGUGUCAUUUGUGCCCCCUGCCCCCGGCCACAGGCUGAACAGAGACACAGGCCCCCAAGCCCUCCUCCUCCUCCCUGUUCUCUGUGCUGGGAAAUCCUUUUUUUUCCCUUAUGAGGGCCACACCUUCGGCAUAUGGAGGUUCCCAGGGGAGGGGUUGAAUUGGAGCCGAAGCUGCCGGCCUACGCCACCGUUCACAGCGACGCCGGAUCCUUAACCCACUGAACGGGGCCGGGGAUCAAACCCGCAUCCUCAUGGUUGCCAGUCGGAUUCGUCUCCCCUGCGGCCCAUCGGGAACUCCUGACGUUCGGUCAUUUUUAGGGAGACGUUGUUUCUGGUCACUCUGGUGUCCCACCAACGUGCACAGUGGAUGGCCUUCCGCGCAGGCGCAGCGUGUACCCCCGGGGGGCUGUGAGCCGGGCGAGCAAGGGGACCCGCCCCCUGGGGAGCCCAGGAGGUCCGAGCAGACACCUGAGGAUGCUGGAAGCUCCAGAGAGCAGGCUGGACGGAUGGCAGGGGGCGCAGGGACGGCCGCGGGGCCUCUGUGGGCUGAGCUGGCUGAGGCUGAGCUGAGACCUGGUCUUGAGAAGGUCGUAGAUGCACGUGCAGUUGUGCAAACGGACAGAGGGAGCCAGGGCGCCUCACACCCGGGUCCCCCCGUGGACUCCUCGGAAAAUGGUCCUUCGUUUCCACAAGCGGGAGAGCGCCAGGCGGUCAGGAUGCCGGGCGUUGCCAGGACCGCUGGGUCCUUGUGUGGCCCCUUUACGGCCACACUCACGUCCCUCGCCCGACACCCUCCUCAACCCUCCAGCCGCCACCGGUCGCUCUCCAUUCCUGCCCCUCGUCGCUUCAAGAAUGCCGCGUAAAUGACUCAUACAACACGCUGCAGCCCUGCGGACCUGGCUGUUUCAAACCUGAGUUUCCGUCGGUUCUCGGGGGUCGCUGUGCGUCAGGAGGCCCUCCCGUUAUUGCCGGGCGGCCUCCCCAGGUGGACCUGUGCUUUGUUCAGCCGGGUCGUUUCCAGCGUUCUGCUGUGCCCUGUUCCAAACACUCGUGCGCAGGAGAAACGCCGCCCAGGGGCGCGAUGGCUGGGUGCUGUUGAGCUGCAUGCUUUGGUUUUUUUUGCCUUUUUGCCUUUGCUAGGGCCGCACCCCGUGGCACAUGGAGCUUCCCAGACGAGGGGUCUAAUCGGAGCUCUAGCCACUGGCCUACACCACAGCCAUGCAGGAUCCGAGCCAUGUCUGCGACCUACCGCACAGCUCACAGCAAUGCUGGAUCCUUGACCCACUGAGCGAGGCCAGGGAUUGAACCUGCAACCUCCUGGUUCCUAGUCGGAUUCAUUAGCCACUGAGCCACGACAGGAGCUCCGCCUGUUUCAUUUGUGACGAGGGUGCCGGCUCGUUCUCCAGCGUGGUCGGCCGCCCGCUGUGGGCGAGUGGUCCCGUGUCUGCGCAUCUGUGCCAACAUUCGAUCGUGCCAUUGCUUUGUACUUGAACCCUUCUGAUGGACCCGUGGGGGUGGCUCCUUGUGCUUCCGAGGGUUCCUAACAGCCGAUAACGUGGAAGGUGUUUUCACGGGCUCCCGUGCCAGCCGUGCGUCUUUCGCAGGCAGACGUCUGUGCUGGUGGCUUUUGCUCGCGUUGGGAUUGCGGCGUCUGCUCUUUGGCCGCCGAGGUCUGGGAGGUCUCUCUGCGUCUAGACAGCAGGCCUCAGUCAGAUCCAGGUGGGCAGAUAGAUGGUCCAGUCUGUGACUAGCCUUUCCACCCUCUCGGCAGGGUUGGUCUUUCAUAAAGCAAGCCUUUGCCAUUUUGACGGAGUCUGACUCAGCCCUUUUUUUACGGAUUGUGCUCUUGGUGUCCUGUCUGACAACUUUGCGGCUACUUCUUGGUCCCAAUGACAUUCUCCUAUUUUUCAUUUUUUCGUUUUGCCCCCACGGCAUAGGGAGGUUCCCAGGCCAGGAAUCGAAUCUGGGCCGGAACUGCAACUUAAACUGCAGGUGCAGCAACGCCAGGUCUGUGACCCACUGCACCGGGCUGGGGAUUGAACCUGCACCUCCACAGCGACCCGAGUCACUGCAGAGACAAUGCUGGACCCUUGAGUGGCUGUACCACAGUGGGAAUUCCUCUCCUCUCGUUUUCCUAAAGGUGUAACAAUUUUGCAUUA